ACUCAAAUGAAUAGACGGGGGCCCGCACAAGCGGAGGAACAUGUGGUUUAAUUCGAUGAUACGCGAGGAACCUUACCCGGGCUUGAAAUGCAGAGGAAUAUAGUGGAAACAUUAUAGUCAGCAAUGACCUCUGUGUAGGUGCUGCAUGGUUGUCGUCAGCUCGUGCCGUGAGGUGUCGGCUUAAGUGCCAUAACGAGCGCAACCCUUAUCUUUAGUUACCAUCAGGUUAAGCUGGGGACUCUAGAGAGACUGCCACCGUAAGGUGUGAGGAAGGUGGGGAUGACGUCAAAUCAGCACGGCCCUUACGUCCGGGGCGACACACGUGUUACAAUGGGGGGUACAAAGGGCAGCUACCUGGCGACAGGAUGCUAAUCUCGAAAACCUCUCUCAGUUCGGAUCGGAGUCUGCAACUCGACUCCGUGAAGCUGGAUUCGCUAGUAAUCGCGCAUCAGCCAUGGCGCGGUGAAUACGUUCCCGGGCCUUGUACACACCGCCCGU
rnacentral:rRNA from 1 species